rnacentral:rRNA from 1 species
GACGAACGCUGGCGGCGCGCCUAACACAUGCAAGUCGAACGAGCGAGAGAGAGCUUGCUUUCUCAAGCGAGUGGCGAACGGGUGAGUAACGCGUGAGGAACCUGCCUCAAAGAGGGGGACAACAGUUGGAAACGACUGCUAAUACCGCAUAAGCCCACAGGUCGGCAUCGACCAGAGGGAAAAGGAGCAAUCCGCUUUGAGAUGGCCUCGCGUCCGAUUAGCUAGUUGGUGAGGUAACGGCCCACCAAGGCAACGAUCGGUAGCCGGACUGAGAGGUUGAACGGCCACAUUGGGACUGAGACACGGCCCAGACUCCUACGGGAGGCAGCAGUGGGGAAUAUUGCACAAUGGGGGAAACCCUGAUGCAGCGACGCCGCGUGGAGGAAGAAGGUCUUCGGAUUGUAAACUCCUGUUGUUGAGGAAGAUAAUGACGGUACUCAACAAGGAGGUGACGGCUAACUACGUG